rnacentral:lncRNA from 1 species
GAGGAGAGAGGAUAGGGAAGGUGGGGCAUAGGAAGGAUCCUAGCGCAGAGGAGCGACCUGUUCGCUCCAGCGACUCAUCGGCGUCGGGGUUAAGGCGAGGUGCUCCGGCGGCGGUAGCUUCGCCAGGGAGGCUUGUCAACGAGGCGGUCUGGUCCAAUGGAACGGCCGGCACGACAGGUGGGGCAGGCACGAGCGAGCACCAUGGCUUCCAGCUCCCUUGACGCGAGCGAGGCGUGAGCCUUGCAUCCCACCGAGCAAAGAAGCAGGGUGUCGCGGGAGCAGGUGGUUGCACGGGGCUAGAGACGGCUCUCCGGACGAGGUACUCGGUGCCAUGCGCCGCGACUGUGUGAUCGGCCGCGGAUAUGGUUGGCUGGAUGUGUCCGUGGCUGUGGGUUGGCUUGCGCUGG